CCUACGGGUGGCAGCAGUGGGGAAUCUUGCGCAAUGGACGAAAGUCUGACGCAGCGACGCCGCGUGCGGGAGGAAGCCUUUCGGGGUGUAAACCGCUGUCACCGGGGAAGAACGGCGGGGGGAGGAAAUGCCUCCCGAUUGACGGUACCCGGGGAGGAAGCACCGGCUAACUCUGUGCCAGCAGCCGCGGUAAUACAGAGGGUGCGAGCGUUGUUCGGAAUUACUGGGCGUAAAGCGCGCGCAGGCGGCCGCUUAAGUCUCACCGUUCAAGCCCGGGGCUCAACCCCGGUCCGCGGGGGAUACUGAGCGGCUAGGGACAUGUAGGGGCAAGCGGAAUUCCGGGUGUAGCGGUGGAAUGCGUAGAGAUCCGGAAGAACACCGGAGGCGAAGGCGGCUUGCUGGGCAUGGUCCGACGCUGAGGCGCGAAAGCGUGGGGAGCA
rnacentral:rRNA from 1 species